CAGCAAAACCCUAAAUGUUUUUCCAAUAAAUAGUCGGCUUUUGUAAGUCAUUAGGGAGUGGGAGGGGAGCCGCCGAAAUUCUCAAAAAAAGAUUCUUUGGAACCGCCUCAAUUUUCCCCUAAAAAUAUUAAUUCACUACUUUCUUGAUAUCGGAAGCGUCGAAUCAUUUGUUUGAUUCUCAUUUUUGCUCCUGUUACUGUUUCGCAUCUGAGUCUAUGCAAACUCGGAGAUUUGAAGUGUUCGAGGGUAUAUCGGAGGCUCGAACCCCACUUCGCUGCACCCGAAGAAGGUAAUUCUCCCUUCCUCUUUUUUACUUUCUGCUUUAUCUAUGUUUCUUUAAUUAGUGUUUAGUUUAAAACAUGCCGAUUAGUUAGGUUGGUUUAGCUCAAUGGAUAAGUCUGUUUAUAUGUUGGUAUUAAUCUGGACUUAAUCAGUUUGUGUAAUGGUUUAGUUGUUGAGUUAGUUCGGUUUAUACAAUUACAUAUGUUAAUGUGUGUGAGUUCAUGUAAAGUAUAAAAGAGCAUGUUUGUUUCUACUCUUGCCUGAGGAUACUCUCCAUUAGAAAUUUGUCUACUUGUGUAAACGAUUAGUAUGAUUAUAUUACGCUAGCUAGGAUAUCUUGUUUGGUCAGAAAUGUUAAAAUACUUAUGUAGCAUGUUUGAUAGCUUACCAGAUCUCUGUAGGAUGUUGUAAAUGGCUGUGUGGUAUUUGGUAGCAUAAACUCAUUUCAAGCAUAUAUAAGCUAGUAUGUUAUCCAACAGAAAUAGUAUUUCAAAGUGGUGUUUGGCUUUGGGAAGUUUAAAAUUCGUUGCAUGUUGAACCCUGUAGCUAAAGCAAGAUUCAUGUAGGCUGAAAUGUCCAUGUGAGUAAUUUAGUUCUCUGUUGAAAUUCCCAAAUGGUUUUGAUAUGUGUACUGCUUAAGAUACUGAAAUGAGCAAUGUGGAAAGUAUUCUAAUUGGCAAUCCCACUCCCAAAUCCCUUAAGUUCCUAAAAGCAUAUUUCCAGUUCAGUCCUCUUUAAGUGAUUGUUGAUCUUGAUUGCAUGAAAGGUCUAUUCAUCUUUUAAAAAUGUAAUCUCAAAUGGUUUGAUUCAUAACUUAUUGAUAGGUAUCACAUCAAUUUAUUUAAUUUGUUAAACGUUAGCAAUUGUCAAGUUUAACUGCUGAUUACAUUUGUGUGUGAGAAGUUAUUGAAUGACUGGUAUGAAAAGAUCAUGAAUUCACCAGUUCAGUAGUGUUCCUGCCUCUGUUUGGAAUCCUUGGAUUAUGUAUGAAUUUUAUGUUCGUGUGGCAUGUCGCACCAAUACAAGUCUGAUUUGUUCUGGAUUUCCGAAGUCCAUAGCCCUUGCUAAGUGUAGAAUUUGCUUCAGUGGUUAGUAUUUCAAGUAUGCGAAUUGCUGAAAUAGAAAGAUGAGAUGGUAGAGUUAGAUUCACUGUGUUGCCUAGUCUUGCUGUCCCCUAUUUGGAUUCCUCAUGUAUGCCAUGGAUGUACUGUUAUUUUCAUUUUAAUUUCUUUUAUAUUUAAGCAUUAUGAAAAAUAAAUAUCCGGUGUGACCUUAGUUGAGCAUCGAUUUAAAUCAUCAUUGUAUGUACAUUGCUUUUGUUAGAUCAUAUGUUUAAUCGCUGCCCUAUUUUAUAAAUCAUGUGUUACGACAAAUUCGUUUCAAGCAAUAUAGUGUUAAAAUUUGGCUAUUAAGUGUUCGGCCAUUUUGUAAAGUUUUGGCCUAGACUUCUCUGGCUUUGGCUGCCGGAUGCAUUAUAAUUGGCUGUAUAAUUCUCCAGUAGAAUGGCUGUUGAGAUCCUAAUAAGUCGUAACCUUUUGCCAACUUAUUAACCCCAUGGUGAAAGACAAUGUCUUUAUAUUGGGUUUCUGAAAUUUGAUAGCGUAUGGUUAUUAAACCGUAUUUCUUUAAUGCAGAGUUGGAAUUCAUGUGGUUAAAUUUCAAACAUACGUACCUUAGCUUUCGGUUGGGCUCAUAAUCUGUGACAUGUUAUAACCGUAGAACAUAUAGCUUGUCCAGUCCUGAAAACUGAAACUGCCAUUUUAUUUUUGGGCCUACUGGUUCAGGUUUGCUUCCUUACUUCUUUAAGUUUCUCUUUCUUGCACACUAUAAAAUUAUAUCAUUUUUCUAAUUCUUUUCUUUUUCUUUUCUUUUGCAUGACAUCCGGGAUUGCGAGGAGUCUCAAAUGCGACUCGAUUCCACCGCGAGAUCAAACGAUCCCAUUGCUCCAUUCCGUGUUCCUAGUCCACAAAAUUUGGCUAAAAAAUGAUUGAGAGAGGCUGCUGCGUUUUUAGCAUAUCGUAUAGAUUGUGGGUCAAAUAAAAAAAAAUGGAGGAUGCACAUGUUGACAAAGGGCCUCCUGCCCAAGAAGAUUCCAAUGUUAACGAUCAAGAAUAUUCCACAAGAGCACAUAGUGUUUAUAACAUUAACAAGAACUUUGUCUUUAAGAUUGGUAUGAAAUUUCAUUCUGAAAAGGAAGCAUACAAUGCCUAUAAUUCAUAUGCCGUGGCAAAAGGUUUUGGUAUCCGAAAAGGAGCAAAGACUUAUAACAGAAAUAAGGAGAUCACAAGGUGUUUAUUCUUUGUUCUUGUGAAGGAAAAUCUGAUAACCUCUCCCCUUUUCAAGAAACGAAGCGACAAAGAUUACAAUACAGAUGUGGUUGUUUGGCUCGUAUAAAAUUCAAAAUUUCAAAUGAGAUAUGGGAAGUAUGUGAGUUCAGUGAUGUGCAU